AAACCUCAACUCCUCAUGGCUUGCCAUGAUGAGCUUGGACUUGGGGGUCUUGCUGGCCUGCAGUCAGCUCCUCUCAAAUAAAUCAGCUUGCCAGUGUUUGGUGGCACCACAGGUGUGAUAAACAUCUAUGCUUGUGGUUGUCUGCCAUGGAACCUUCAGCGAUGGAGGUUUGCUGGAGCUUACAAAAGUCUCUCCUCAGUGAGGACAGCGAUUUGAAC
rnacentral:misc_RNA from 1 species